rnacentral:lncRNA from 10 species
GCUUUUGAUGACGUCGGUGAAUCCGUCCUCAGCGGCAUUUUCUGGGGUCUCCUGCAGACCCCUCAGCUGUGCCAUAACCAAACGCCACGUGCCUCAGCUUCCUCACGCCCCAAACUUUGGAAGGCAGGGCUGUGGAGAAUGGGGGUCACAUGGAAUCUACACAUGGAAGGACAUAGGCAUUGCAUGCAGGUAUCCGGAAUCAUUGAUAUUGGUCUUAAAAUUUGGAAGUUUCCACUUUUGCUAAGGCUGCCAUUUAUAAUGAGCCCUACGGAGAGGCCAUGUGGCAAGAAGCUGAGGCUGCCAGAGGGAACCUGAGGCCUGCCAGCAACCACAUACAUGAGUUUGGAAGUUAAUUCUUCAGCUUCCUUUGAGUCUUGAGGUAGCUACAGCCUGGCCAGAACUUGACUAAACUUCAUAAGGGACACUGAGCCAGAAACACCUAACUAAGCAAAUUCUGGUUUUAUGACCUUCAGAAAUUGUGUGAAAUAAUAAAUAUUUGUUGUUUUCAUUAUCAUGUGAGGACACAACAAGAAGGCAUCACCAAUGAAGAAUAGGCCUUCAUCAGACAUCCAAUCUGCAGGCCUCUUGAUCUUGGACUUCCUAAUCUACAGAAUUGU